CCUCGCCACGCUCUUGGCUUCGCUCUCCCGUCGCCGCGGACAAUGCGUCGCCCCGUCUCCUUUCAUCGGCGUGGAACCCGCGUACCGAGCGACUCUAGCCGUUGUUUCUUUGUCCCGCGAUCGAAUUCCUUCUUCCCGAUUAUUCAGGGAAAUCCCGGAGAACAUCGGUGAACUACGGAGAAUGUUCCAGAAAUUUGAUAGAGGUCUUAAACUGUUGAUCUUUUCGAUCUUGAAGCUUUUUCCACUGAUCGGGAACCUCGGGGAACAUCAAUGAACUACGGAGAUGUUCCAAAAAUUUGAUAGAGGUCUUAAACUGUUAGUUAUAACAGUUAUAAGGAAAACUUAUAGAACAUUGAUGAACUUCGGAGAAAGUUCGAGAAACGUUGAUAAGAAUUUGAAACCAUUGUUCUCUUCGAUUCUAAUCGAAGCACAGUUUUAAGUGGAUCCUCUAUCUUUGCUCGAGGUGUACAGAAAUAGCGUUUAUAACAGUUUAUCAGAGUGAUUAAUGAUGUUCCUUUGUUCCACGAUUGAAAUCUUUUCCGAUUUAGCUGGAGAAACUUCAAGAACAUCGAUGAACUUCGAAGAAAGCUGGAGAAACGUUUUUGAUCUUAAUCGAAGCAUCUUUCGCUGAUUCUUUCUAAGUUGAUCCUCUACCCUGGCUCAAGUGCUCCAGAAAUAGCUUCUUCAUAAUAGUAUAUUAGAGUAGUUAAUGAUGCUCCACCGGUAUCUCUCAAACGCAACAGAAGAGGUUCAAGGAAACGAUUAAUCUCUUGCUAGUCAAGUCUACUAGACGCUAGCCACGUCCCAGCCACCACCUUAUCUCCGAGAUGAAACAGCGCUUUUAAAAAUACACCCACAGAACUCGAAUUGUGCGAUGCUCUUCGUUAUUUUCGGUAUCUGUUUCAGGCGAACGUGUGCGUAACCGUAUUGACGAACAGCAAACUAGUGAUCGAGAAUAUUAAGAAAUAGAAAACAAAACCUACAGAAAAUUCGGUAAGAAAAAACGAAAAUGAUCGAUCAGACGAAUUCCACAGCCUAGUCAUCAAGUGACCUAACAGUAAAUAUAAGAUUUGUCUAUUUAACACUAGAACUACCGAGUGAAAUCGACUCUUUGAAACAUCUCUAUAGAAACUCCAAGAGUGCAUCUAUUCAGACUUUGAUUCAUAAUUCAAUUUGCAUGUUGGCAAAUCAGUUUCUUUAAAAACUCCCAGAGAAGCGUCUGCUAUUUCUGUAAUAAUCGCGAAAAGAAGAAAUCCAGUAGUAGCUAGUUCUCUCAAGAAAGAUGUACCAUCUCUGCCCGACUCACCCUAAACUCUAUUUGCCUGGUAAACUGCGUGGAAAUUUCUGGAAAGACGAACGGACCGGGAACGCGGAAGGAGCGCGGCUGUCGCUCGCGAUGGCGUCCGCUUAGCUCAUCGCUAAAUUAGCCGGGCACCCCGUCAUCGGGCAAAAAAGCCCGUAUCCUUCGGCUUGGACAGUCGAUAACCUCCUGGGCCACUCGAGAAGAUUCGACGUCCGAGUAUUUAUAAUCGGGCCAGGCCCGGCGCGCGAAAAUUUUAAUCCCGGAUGGAGCGUGUCCGCGGCGUUGCGGAUCGGGCGGGCAAGCCUCUUGCAACAACAAUCGCCGGGGCUUCCCACCGGACCCGAGCUUUUACUGGCAAUAAACCGAAACCGUGACGCAAAUCGAAGAUAAAUUUAAACGGGCACCUAUGACGCGGCCAGAGAAUUAUUUCCUAUUCGAGUUCCAUUUCCGACCGGGCUGGGAAUAUUUCUAGGGACCGGCACGUGGUCGGCCGCGGUCUAUUAUUUUUCGCUUUCUCUGUUGAUCUGUGACGCUCACGCGGGUGCAGGAUCGACAUUUCGAAAUUACAAAUCUCUGCAACGUUUCAGGGGGUUGGACUGAUAGGGGACGGGGAAAGGGUGAAUUUUUCGGGGUACUCAUGGAUUAAUCGAAUGCCGGCAUGGGAAUGUUACCGAUAAUGUUGAAUAGCAUUCAUUGUUUGAGUAAUUGUGGUAUUAGUAAUAUGAGUUUUGUAUAUAAUGCAGAUUGGUAAGUAUUAUGUAAAUUAGGAAUGUAUGAAGUUUGAGUUUUAUCGUGAAUCGUUAUAGUUCGUAUGGAGUUUCGUUUUGGAUUGUGCUUUAAGCUUCUUAAACACCGAGGAGAAACAGGUCUUGGAUUCGCAUUUGUCGAACGUGAGUUUAUGACGAUUAUCGGUUGGCUAUUGAACUGCGAGAUAUACCUCGACGGUUUCAAUAGGGAUAAAAUAGCGUUGCGACAUUGAGAAAGAAAUUGCUAAGAGAAGGAUUAAACGAGAGUCAUAGAUACGUCGCGUAUCUUUCUUCGAUUUUGAGAGAUUAAACGAUAUUCACAGCUCGUUUGCGUUCAUGGUUCUAUUCCGGACAAUGUCGUGGAUUUUCCAUUCAUAGUUCGUUUCCGACAAAGGAACGGGUCAAGAGAUCAAGAGAGUACAAGUCUGCUUCUUCAAAGUCAGAGGAAAAGCUUGAAUCCCGUUAGAAGAUUCUCUUUUCAAGCAGAAUUCAAGCUUUUUCUUUCAAUGUUCACUACAAAGAAAGAUUCAAGAGCAUGAAUCUACGCCUCUCUUAGCAUUAGAAGC